AGUAACACGUAGGUUACGUACCCCUAGGUGGGGAAUAACCAAGGGAAGCUUUGGCUAAUACCGCAUAUGUCCUUCGGGAUGAAAGUCUUCGGACGCCUUGGGAUCGGCCUGCGGCCCAUUAUUUAAUCCUGGAUGGUAAGGUAACGGCUUACCAUGGGUACGAUGGGUAGCUGGUCUGAGAGGAUGAUCAGCCACACUGGGACUGAGACACGGCCCAGACUCCUACGGGAGGCAGCAGUGGGGAAUAUUGGACAAUGGGCGAAAGCCUGAUCCAGCGACGCCGCGUGGGUGAUGAAGGCCUUCGGGUUGUAAAGCCCUGUCGUAGGGGAAGAAGCUUCGGUUGACGGUACCCUACAAGAAAGCACCGGCUAACUCCGUGCCAGCAGCCGCGGUAAUACGGAGGGUGCAAGCGUUGCUCGGAAUUACUGGGCGUAAAGCGAACGCAGGCGGCUUAUCAAGUCGGAUGUGAAAGCCCUGGGCUCAACCCAGGAAUUGCAUUCGAAACUGGUAGGCUUGAGUCCGAGAGAGGGAGGUGGAAUUCCAGGUGUAGAGGUGAAAUUCGUUGAUAUCUGGAGGAACACCGGUGGCGAAGGCGGCCUCCUGGCUCGGUACUGACGCUCAUGUUCGAAAGCGUGGGGAGCAAACAGGAUUAGAUACCCU
rnacentral:rRNA from 1 species